ensembl:lncRNA
UUUUUGAGUCAGUGUUUGUUGCAUUUUUUCAUUGCCUGCAGCAUCAUCAUCUGCAGGUUUUCGAUCUCAAACAGAGCCUCCAGUUUUCUCUUGAUUUCAGCCAAGGCCUCUGAGUAAAAACAGCAUUUUAAUUUAGACAUUUGUUUAGAUUUUAGUUUAGAUUUUAGUUCACAACAAUCAGAGAAGUUUGAGCCUAAACUAUCCACCUGCUUGAUUUGUCUGCUCUGUGGCUUUCCCUCCUGUGUGGACAAAAUCACAUCAUUACCAUUUAAACAUGUACAUAACAAACACAUACUGGGUCAGAGGACAGAGGGUCAGAGGAGCAGAGGGUCAGAGGAGCAGAGGAGCAGAGGGUCAGAGGAACAGAGGGUCAGAGGAGCAGAGGAGAGGGACAGAGGAACAGAGGGUCAGAGGACAGAGGGUCAGAGGGUCAGAGGAGCAGAGGAGCAGAGGGUCAGAGGAGCAGAGGGUCAGAGGAACAGAGGGUCAGAGGAACAGAGGGUCAGAGGAGCAGAGGGACAGAGGAACAGAGAGUCAGAGGAGCAGAGGGUCAGAGGAACAGAGGGUCAGAGGAACAGAGGGUCAGAGGAGCAGAGGAGAGGGACAGAGGAACAGAGGGUCAGAGGAACAGAGGGUCAGAGGAGCAGAGGAGAGGAACAGAGGAACAGAGGGUCAGAGGACAGAGGAGCAGAGGGUCAGAGGAGCAGAGGGUCAGAGGAGCAGAGGGUCAGAGGAACAGAGGGUCAGAGGACAGAGGGUCAGAGGAACAGAGGAGGAGAGGGUCAGAGGAACAGAGGAGAGGGUCAGAGGAGGAGAAGGUCAGAGGAGAGGGUCAGAGGAACAGAGGAGAGGGUCAGAGGAACAGAGGAGAGGGACAGAGGAGCAGAGGAGAGGGUCAGAGGAGGAGAGGAGAGGGUCAGAGGGACAGAGGAGAGGGACAGAGGAGGAGAGGAGAGGGUCAGAGGAGCAGAGGAGAGGGUCAGAGGAGGAGAGGGUCAGAGGAGCAGAGGAGAGGGUCAGAGGAGCAGAAGAGAAGGUCAGAGGAGCAGAGGAGAGGGUCAAAGGAGGAUAUUAGAGGGUCAGAGGAGGAGAGGAGAAGGUCAGAAGAGCAGAAGAAAAGGUCAGAGGAACAGACGAGAGGGUCAGAGGAGCAGGGGGUCAGAGGAGCAGAGGAGAGGAUCAGAGAAGCAGAGGAGAGGGUCAGAGGAGAAGGGGGUCAGAGGAACAGAGGAGAGGGUCAGAGGAGCAGAGGAGAGGGGCAGAGGAGAGUGUCAAACCGUUGUUUUCAGGCUCCAGAGCAUCUGCCAGGUUGAAUCCAUCAGUGAAGCCUGUAAAAACAGCCAUGAUCAGAUGAGCAUAAUCUGAUGUAACUCUGUUCCUGACGUAAAUUCAUCUUGUAGAAACACACAGACGUACUUGAAGGCUUCUGGGGCUUUGGAGCUGCAAAGAAACAAAAAACAGAUCACACUUAAUAAUAACCUUAAUCAGCCUGAAUAACACAUCAACAAAAGCUUUAAGAAAGAGUCAGACUUUAUAAUCACUUAAUUACUAUUAAUUAAGGAUAUUAAUAAAGUAGUGACUCUGAACCUUUCUUAAAUCUUAAAGAGCUGUUCUGCUCUGUUCUGUUCAGAUCUUUAUCCAUGUUCU